AUACUUCAACCAAGUCAGCGAGCCUGACCACCCGAUCGUCGCAUCUUACGACAAGCUUUGUCACCUUUUAGGGCAAGCAUGGGUUGCUGAAGACCUUGUCUACCCCGGAUCUUCACGGUUGAUGUGGGGGAAUGCGUUCACUGGGCCUAGACUAAAAGUUAUCAGAAAGCAACUAUCGUAGCGAAUGGAUCUAGCCUAUUUAUCAUAACAGAAUGGAGAUAGGAUGCAUUGAUUAAUGUGAUUAUUAGUGCGAGCUCACUGUAAACAGAUCAGGUUCAGCUUUCCGUUAAACGGACAAAUAAGUGGAAAGCAGUUUUUCCUCCGUGAGUCGGAUACAGCUCCCUGCAGUGUCGAUGUUAGGAAAAACAGGAGUGCAAUCAGUCCAGAUAAAUGACCAACGCACAGUGUCAAGGUAAAGGAACAUGCACUCAGGCCAAGUGAGCGAGCUCUGUAUAGUGUUACUUUUAGGGAACGUAAACAUGCGUUCAUUCCUGGGGCUCGAGCUCAGUACAAUGUCGGUUUUAGGAAAAGGUAACAUGCGUUCAUUCCUGGGCCUCGAGCUCAGUACAAUGUCGGGUUUAGGGAAAGGUAACAUGCGUUCAUUCCUGGGCCUCGGGCUCAGUACAAUGUCGGGUUUAGGGAAAGGUAACAUGCGUUCAUUCCUGGGCCUCGAGCUCAGUACAAUGUCGGGUUUAGGGAAAGGUAACAUGCGUUCAUUCCUGGGGCUCGAGCUCAGUACAAUGUCGGGUUUAGGGAAAGGUAACAUGCGUUCAUUCCUGGGCCUCGAGCUCAGUACAAUGUCGGGUUUAGGGAAAGGUAACAUAUGCGUUCAUUCCUGGGCCUCGAGCUCAGUACAAUGUCGGGUUUAGGGAAAGGUAACAUGCGUUCAUUCCUGGGGCUCGAGCUCAGUACAAUGUCGGGUUUAGGGAAAGGUAACAUAUGCGUUCAUUCCUGGGCCUCGAGCUCAGUACAAUGUCGGGUUUAGGGAAAGGUAACAUGCGUUCAUUCCUGGGCCUCGAGCUCAGUACAAUGUCGGGUUUAGGGAAAGGUAACAUAUGCGUUCAUUCCUGGGGCUCGGGCUCAGUACAAUGUCGGGUUUAGGGAAAGGUAACAUGCGUUCAUUCCUGGGGCUCGAGCUCAGUACAAUGUCGGGUUUAGGGAAAGGUAACAUGCGUUCCGUCCAGGUGCGCAAGCUCCAUGCAGUGUAAUGAAGCAUGCAGUCAGCUGAUGUGUGUUUUGUAUUUGUAAUCUGCUGAUGGACAGACGAAUGUUUGGCACGUGAGGUA